rnacentral:rRNA from 1 species
UUAAAUUGAAGAGUUUGAUCAUGGCUCAGAUUGAACGCUGGCGGCAGGCCUAACACAUGCAAGUCGAACGGUAACAGGAAACAGCUUGCUGUUUCGCUGACGAGUGGCGGACGGGUGAGUAAUGUCUGGGAAACUGCCUGAUGGAGGGGGAUAACUACUGGAAACGGUAGCUAAUACCGCAUAACGUCGCAAGACCAAAGAGGGGGACCUUCGGGCCUCUUGCCAUCGGAUGUGCCCAGAUGGGAUUAGCUAGUAGGUGGGGUAACGGCUCACCUAGGCGACGAUCCCUAGCUGGUCUGAGAGGAUGACCAGCCACACUGGAACUGAGACACGGUCCAGACUCCUACGGGAGGCAGCAGUGGGGAA